CCUAGGCUGCGAAGUCCCUCGGCUUUGUGAUAUAGUGAGAGAUUCCAGUCUUGGAACCCAGAAACAAAAUCCAAAUGAUGUGGCAGUUAGAAUGUAGGUUUAUUGACUAGGAUGCUGAUGGGGUAUUCAUGGGUUUCUAAGGGAUAGAAGCCCUAGAAUGAUGACACCCAGUGCUCCUUUGAUCUGGUAGUUACACACCUUACUGGUCAUAGGUCCACCAACCCAGCAGAAAAGAAAGUACCAAUAAGCUGUUUCCACUCGCUUCCUCUAUUGGUCUGUCAGGAUUCUGGGUGACAAUUCCCUUGGAUAAAUGAACUCAUGUUGGCGAUCUCAAGUUUCCGCAGUAUCAUUUGGAAGCUAAAGGAAUUCAUGUGGAUCAAGACAGUGGUGAUCUGGAAACUCAACCAAGAUGCUCUGAGAUGCAGCUUCUGCCUUCGUCUUCUUGUAAUGUUUCCUACCACCCUGUUUGGAAGCUUGGACAAAACUACUGAAUGAUAAAAGACGCCUUGGAGAGAGAGGCCCAGCUAAUAUCCAGCAUUAAGUCCCUAGAUAUGUGAAGGAGGCCAUCUUAAAACCUCCAACCCCAGACCAACUGCGAGAUAACUGAUGCCUCAUGGGAAAGCCCAGGGAGAUUGCAACAGAUAAAAUCACAACCAAAAUACAGAAGACAGUAAGAUGAGUGAAGUCAAAUCAUGACUUCAUGUUCCAUAUUGGAGAAGUUAUUCUGGUGACUUUUGCACAGACGGCUUAAGCAUUGAUCUCCAGGCAAAGAAUAAAGUAGGAGCAGAAGAUCUGAGUCCAAUGGGAGUAAAACAUAAGGAAUUUUGGGCAGUGCUGAAGAAAGUAGCUUUGAUAUCUUAAGAUUUCCUGGGCCACAGACCAGAGGCAAAUGUUAGACCACCACAGUAACAAAAGUGUGGUGUAGUGGAAAUAACCUAGAUUUCCUGGAAGCCAAGGGUCAAAUAUAUUAAUUCUAAAUUUGCUAGCAACCUGUUCCUUAGCUUCAGCAAAGUUGUUUAUCCUCUCUGUACCUUGAUCUCCUUAACUCCAAAAGAAGAGGAUUUUACAGUCAGUAGCAAAUUUUCGUUCAAGUCCUGGCAAAACAACCUUCUACAAGGCUUGCUUCAUUGAUAGCAGUAACCACCAUUUUGGGCACAAGUAGCUCCAGUGCCCAUUCUUGUACAUCUUUUUGUAAUUCUGAAUAGUGUCAUGGGCUCCUUCUACCCAUCUCAAGAAGAGUCAACUAGUGGAGAAACCUCUAGGAUGAUCCGAUUGAGAUUUUUUGCCAACUUUAUUAUUUCCCAGUAAUUCUAAUUUAAACUAAACCUUGUUAGUAAUUUGAGAUUAAGGUUAGGAAAGAGAGGAGUACAAAUCUUUAUCUGAGUGACUCCAAAUAAUGAUCUACUUUAAAAAAUACUUCGGAGUUGUCAGCCUUGCUUGAAUUGGUGGUAAGUCCAUAGUAUUUAUACUUUGUUUCCUAUUGUGUAGCCAGCACAAGGAUCAACAGACCUGAGCAGGGAAGAGAGUCAACUGGUCACUAGAUGAUCUCUAAGGAACCUCUGAUUUCUUCUAUUUUAGUGGAGAGUGUGAGCGGAAGUGAGUGCUCUGUGUGAAAGAAAAUCAUGGGAUUCAGGACACUACAAAGGCACACUGGGCUUCAGUUGCUGAUCGCUAUUGAUAAGCUGCUUUCCUUUUGCAGAAGUGAGUUAAGCGGACAGCUUCACCCUGUCUUCACUGGGAAGAUCAGAUUUAAACUAUUAUUCUGCCCUUGUUUAAAAGGGAAGAUAUUUGGUAGAGACACAUACAAAGUAUGGCACCUAGAGACCUCAAGUUUUCAGUGUAGACAGAAGAUGGAAGACUGCUAGGAAGCAGUGCCACCAAUGAAUGCAUAACCCUCUUCUCCAACUUAUUACCAAUACUAGGAAUUAUCUAAAUUUUAAUCUUUGCUAAUUUGAUAUUUAAAAAUAUGAUCCAUUUUUUGUAAGAUAAAUAAAGUCUUAUGUAAAAAUUAAAAAGUGUUUGGACAUGAUUGGGAAUUGGAAGAAUUGGUAGAAUAACUUUCAGGUUUCAGGUGAGUAAUUUAGAAUUCAAUUAUUUGCUUGAUGCAUUGCAUCAUUGGGGAGGUUACUGAUGAUAAUCCCUG
rnacentral:lncRNA from 1 species